CCCCAAACAAAGCAAGUGGCACCUAAAUGCGAGAAACAUCAAAGAAUGAUUAAAACAAAACAUUGAUAGUUGAUAUUCAACGUUUAGUGCCUCUCCCUAAAUAAAGACAUAUUGUUGGCUUCAAAUUUUCAUUUUCUAGUUUUAAAUUCAUAAGAGUUUAGGAAAUAUCAUUUACUAACAAUUCAAUGUAUGCAUGCCAUAUCACAUUUAUGAUGCCAGAAGCCAUGAUGAUCUAGUCAGGUCUAAAACAAGUUAACCACACUGUUGUAUCAACAACAUCAAAAUAUAAUCCGGCGUCUUACAGCAACAUUAAGUCCGAAAAAGUACCAAUGACAGAACACAAAUUGUUAACAGUUAAUCAAAAGGUUUACAACCAUGUAAUAUAUCAGAAAGAAAAAAUACAGCAUAAGUUACAGCCUGAAUAUUAUCAUGCAAAAUGAACGACAAGCACCACUUCUUCUCUUUCUUAAGAAGAAAGUUUUUCUAUUUCUCUAAAGAACAAUCAAGGGUUGCUUGAAAAUGCUACAUAAAUAGGCACCCUAUAAUGAGAAGCAUUUCAUUCCAUGUCCAGAAGAGGAAGGACACAGAAUUUUUACAAUAUCUCUCCCAGACAAUCCUAUCCCACUUUAUCUCUUCCAUGGCCACAUAAGUUUCAAUAUAAGCAGCAGAAAACCAAACAUACCAUAAUGCAGAAG
rnacentral:misc_RNA from 1 species